GGGGACUCCACUCAGUGCCUACCACAACGUGCUAAUGUGGUAGGUUAGACAUGCUAAAAUGGAGAGAAUUCAAAGCCUAUAACACGAUGGCGGUGGUAGAGCGGAAACUAGGGAGGAAGAUGGCGGAAGUGGAGUCGGAGUUCGAAUUAAGCAGCACGUCGAGUAAAUUUGAGCAGAGGAAGAUUGCAGUGGGCCUCAAAAGAAUCCGGACAACAGAAGAUUUGUGUUUUGAACCUCGGAGUAGAGCACCCAUCAAAGGAGUCAUCUAAGCGGUGAUGAAGGGUGUUCAGGUUGAAUACCUGAAGAGAAUUCCUGGUUGCGUGGCGGGAUGCACAUUAAAUAGUGUGAUUGGCAAUAUACCAUAGAAGAGAAGAAGCAUGACGUCCUUACCUGUUUCCUAAAUAGUGACGAGGAUGCUCAUGGCAUUCCAGACUACAGGAGAAGAAUCUCUCCCCCCUAUUCCCUGACAGUUCAA
ensembl:lncRNA